GAGGCGUAGAAAUGUUUGUAGUAUUUUUACCCAAUAAAAUACGGGGAUGGAUAACCUUCCAACCACGCUUCGUCUCCUUUUGUGACAAUGGUCAACUUCAUUUCCCCAUGCAAGUACCUAUAGAAUGGUGGCUAUUUCUGAUAUAGGAAUGUCCCAGGCAGAUUAUCAAGCAUCGUUAGCUUCGAGUGGUAGCUCGGAGGGGCGACAAAGAAUCUUCCGUGCAUCUGUAAUAAGUUGUACAUAUAUUACUUUCCAACUUUUUCAUCAAUUUGCUACAAAUUUAUGGAUAUCUUUUACGUUUAAGAUAUUAUAGGUACAAUGCGUACGCCACUGGUCAAUGCAUACGGACACGUUGAGAUAAAAGGCCUAAACUCCGUCCAAUCUGCGCAUGCGAAAGAAACGUCAAAGUUGCAAUGUUAUUAAUUAAAAUGUAGGUUAGGUUAUUGUUUUCAUCACAGGCUGUUAUAACGAAUAAACAUAUUUGUAAAUCGUAAUGUACAUUUAAACUCACAGACUUUUGACGUUGUUAUACUAAGACCCAUGUUUUCCUGCAGCAGUAUAAAAUCCGAAAAGGACAGUAUAAGCCCCACGUUCACAAAUCGUAACCCAGACAUUUCAAAUACCUACAAAUCGCUCAUAAACCGGACGGCUACUAGGGUGAUAAAACUGGAACGCUCCUACUGGCAUAAAUAUACAAAUUUGCUUUCCUACCGCCUCCAAUAAGACAGCCCGAUUGUAGAUGACAACCGACACAAACAGGCCGUCACGUAACUUCAUUGUUCGUCCAUUACAUCAACGGACCCGACACUCACCGCUAGCACGAAGGAAUGGGCCAUCAAAACCAGGCUGUAUAAGACCAUGCACCAAGUCGUUGGCGCUUCAGUUCUUCGUAGGUACAAAGAUGCCUUGCAAGCGGUCCGACAGAGUUUAUGUGCGCUUGCAAACCCGAACACAACGGCAGUAAGGUCGCAAAGUUUCUACCGUGCUCCAAGAUUUCAAUUUGAAAUUGUCUGAGCCGGAAUAGUCAAGAGAGCCGUGGACGAGAGAAAGAUUACCAAAACCGUGGGAUAUAAUCUGACUUGACAGAUAAUGUGAAUCGACCUUAAAUUGUGUGCCUAUUAGUUUCUGUAAAGAGAAAGCUGAGUAUUGGGUCGCUCCAAUGAAGUGAAGAAAGCCUUAUGUUCAGUCUCUCGAGAUGCUUCCCUGUUUCUAACUCAAAGGUUCUUCCAAAGAAGGUGCUUAUUACUAAUUUCUAGAUUGCAUGAAAAACCGUUUAUUUGAUUUUUUAAGAAGAAGUUAAUGGGUUUCAAGAACAAUAAAUUUGAUAAAUAUGUA